GAGAAGGAGCCAGACAGGCGAGGAGCUGAGGAAAUGCAGUCCAGGCAAAUGGAAGAGCCUGCAGGAUGGUCUCAAGGCAGGAGAAGCUUGGUGCAUCUGAAUUGUCAGAGGGCUGUUGUGCCCGGAGUUGUCAACGAUGGGGAGACUGAACCAUUUUGGUAGGGUUGCCAAGAUCAUGCAGAGCCUGAGUACAAUGCUCAGAGUUUAUUCUAAAUGAAAUGAGAAGCCAGUAAAGAAUUUAAAAUGGGGGAAAACAAGAUAUAAUUUUUGUUUGAAAAGAUUACUCUGGCCAGCCUGUGAAAUAACGACUGUAGGUGGGCUAGCAUUGAAGCAGGAAGGUCCAGUUGGAAAGCUUUGGCAGUAGUCUUAAAUGAUGGAUCAUGGCGGUUUGGAUGAAGGAGGGGACAGUGAAGACAGGGAAGAGAGAAUGUAUUCAAGACACACUUUGGAGGCUGCCACCAUUGCCAUGAAAAGGACAUGCCAGGAGAAGCAGCCUGAAUCCCAGAAUGAGGACCUGUGAAGCUGAACCCCCACCCCCACCCCAGCUGACCCAUGGUCCCACAGUCAAGACAGAGCUGCCCCAGCUGAGCCACAGAUUGAUGACAACGAUUCACAGGAGCCAGUGGAGGAAGCCAAGUCCCCAGAAGAUGGUAGAACCACAUCUUCUAGGAAAGAACCUGGAUCCCUAAAUAACUAUGUGGAACACAGCCCUUGCUGCAACUUGCAAUUAACUGUGAUAUUAGCAAGUUAUACUAGUUAAGUAUACUAAGUUAUAUAUAUACUAUGUUAAGUCUUCAAGGUUGUUUGUUGCAGUCAUUAGUAUUAUUUGCCCUAGUUAAUACAUGGUCAGAGAUUAUUAGGUAGGAAAUAACAGGCUUUCUCUAAUUAUGUAAAUUAAAUAUUCAUCUACUUCAGUUUUGAUGUUUGGAUCUUUUCAUCUUCCCAGUUCUGAAACCUAUCUUAGUCAUUAGCAGUGAUUCUGGCCAAGGGUGGGGCUGGUGGAAGAUAGAGGCAUCAGGGUAGAUGGAGCCCUCAGACCCAAAUUUUUAUAAAAGCUACACAUCUCAUUCUUUGCCUUCUCUUGCCCAAUACCUGACGAAAACUUAGAAAGCAGAGCUAAAGUAAAAGGUGAGAGCAGAAGAGAAACAAUGGCAAUGACACCUAGACCAAUUUUUCCUUGGAUUGACCCAGAAUUGAUGGAAUGAGGGAGGCUUAGAUGUUGCUGCCUAUGCCUAUGUAACAUCCAGAAUUUUGCUGCCUUCAUACCCUGAACACAAAAGCUAGCCAGCCACAGGCUAGAGAUGUUACCAUGUUAAGGGCAAGACUAUAGAAUUCUUGCCCCUGCAGAAUAAGCCGUCAUUGAGGAAGGACCAUAGAUAGUAGCAGGACAUUCUCUGCUCUGGAGAAGACAGAGUCACUUUCCGCAUAGCAUAAGGGGCUCUACAUUCAGGAGAGGCUGAGAAAUCAUGGUGAUGAGCUGAGUUAAAUAAAUGGGUGGCAAACAUCUGACUCUCAUUUGUAAAUGAUUCUUGAGCAAGGAUUGCAAACUCAAAGGCCUCCCCAAGGCUAGGCUUGGACAGGAAAUACAAAUGUGUAAAGAAUGUGAGGUGUUUUCCUUUGUAUGUUAGACUUGGUUUUUUACUUCCCCACUUUCUAUAGAAAUGUGGACUCGGGAAUAUUUCACCUUCCUCUAUAUUUUAAGGAAAACAUCCACACACACACAAAAAUGAAAAUGGCAGCGAUGCACUCAUUUCCGUAGGGAGGCAUUAAGGAGUAGCAGAGGCUGUGGCAAAGUAAAGAGCACACGACCUCCUGAUGUAGCAGGUCCUGCCCUGGGGACCAGCAGGAUUUAAUCUAUCUGGGAUGAUGAGCCCAACAUUUCUGAAUCUUUAGUUUUUUUCCAUAAAAUCUGGACAUAGAAAAUACACUAAACUAUUUUUAUGUGAUACCAUAUAUAUAUAUAUAAGACAUUAUGUGAGCUAAUAUUUUGUAGGUGAAACAGAACAACUCUAUAGAUUUGAUUGAGCUGAGAAGCUGCCCAUUUUCAACCUCUGCCAUACAAGCUAAUCCAGCCUUAGUGACCUCCAUUUCUUGGUAAGGGUGCAGAUAAGGUGAAAGAAAACUGGAAAUAUUCCUUCUCUACAAAGUUCCUAGGACCAGUUUUAUGAUCUGGAACUUGUGUGACUAUAGCAGCUCAAAAAAUGUAAUGCAAGUCAUAUACAUAAUUUCAAGUCUUCUAGAAGCCACGUGAAAAGACUAAAAAGAAACAGAUACAAUUAACUUUAGUAAUACAUCUUAUUGAGCACAAUAUAAUCAAAAUAUUUCAAUGACAUGUUUUACACUCAUAUGUUUUUACUAUAUAUACUUUUUUGAAAUCCAUACUUUUUUAUCCUUCAGCACAUGAUACUUUAGACUAGCCACAUGUCUAGUGUUCAGUGGCCACAUGUGGCUGCUGGCUUCUGUAUAAGAUAAUACAGGUCUGGUGCUGCUUUAGGAGGACAUUAUACCUGGGGUUUGAACAAACAACUCACAGGAAUCAUUGAAUGCAGUUCUUUCAAAGUGUGGUCAUUCACAAUAAAGAUUUCUGAGAUCUCACCUUCAAAGGCUGUGAUUUGGAAGCUCAGAGAUUAAGGCCGAGGAAUUGGCAUUGUUAAUGGGCAAUCCCAUUGGUACCAAGACAAGGUGAAAUUUGAGAAACACUGCCUUCUGGCCAUGGCAUAGACUUUGUUUUGUAUUUAUUAAUGUAUUUUGGCCUGAAUAAUUUUAUCAACUCAGAAUAAACCAGAAGUUGAUUAUUGCUAUGGAAUCAGAGCCAUGGUUGCUAUCAGCCAAUAAUUAUUAAAUCUCUCUUCCACCUGUGCAGUCUGAAACACAUCAGGGCAACUCUCCCUCCUGGAAUAGAUUCUCCAUCUGAAACAAAAGCGGUGGCCCUCACCUAGUGCAUUGCUCCUCUUGGGGAUAAACCCUCUAUAAAUGGAAGUUUUGAGGCUGCCCUUUCUCUCUUGGAUUCAUCAUUAUGGUUUCUGAGCUUCAAAUCUUGACUUUUUUUUUUUUUUUUAUAUUUGGUGGUGCCUCCAGGAUACAGAAUUUCCUGGGCCAGGCAUCCAAUCCGAGCUACAGCAAUGACAAGGCCAGAUUCUUAAUGGCUGGGCCACCAGGGAACUCUACCAUUGUUUCAUUUGGACUGCAAAUGGACAGGGCUACAUUUUAGUUGCUAUGCCUAGAUUCCCUGGUAUAUUUCUCCACCUGGAUAUUUUUGACUUGGUACAAGAUGUGGAAGGACAUCAGAUGACCAAGAGCCCCUGUGUGACCAAACUACAGAGGUGGAGUCCCAGAAUCACUCUGCCCAGCCCCCCACGCACGUUCCUGCUGGAAGCUUACAGCCAAAUUUCCAGGCCUGCCCAUACAGCGCUUUCUUUGAGGGUGGAGGAUUCUGGUAUCCCCUUUAUCCUGGGACGUUCAGAAGCUUUACCAACUAUUUGAAAGUAUUACAGCACAGUAUCUUAAGCAAUUUUUUAAAUGCUUUGUCACUAAUUCCCCAGGGAGAGAUGACAGGUGAUUUUAAAUAUUUGACAGUGAGGGAAAUGAAAUCUGCCUGAGCCCCUGCCGGUGGUGGAGCAGGGGGAGGAAGCAGCGUUGGCAGCAAAGGGACCGGUUCCAGGGGUGCUGUGGGGGAGGGGGAUGCAGCCCUGGAUGUUGGCCUGCUCCUUCCACUUUCCUCCUCUCUCCCCUCCCCCUCUUCCUGUUGCUACUCCUACUUCCUGUUAUUAUGUAUCUUCCUGUCAGUUUCCCCGUGGCGCCCCACCCCCUACCCCAGUCAGGUCACAGGAAAUCUAAGCUCCUGAAAGACAAUUCUAUGAUACUAAUUACAUGUCUGGAAAAUGAUGCCCCAGUCUGCAGGUGGUACCCGCUAACAGCAAUCACUAUUACUAUUAUUAUUGUUAUUGUUAUAUUCUCACUGUAGCUUUCCAGGACUGAAUUAUCUUCCUUUGGUUUUGUUGCCAGGCUUUGUGUGCCUUCAUUUGCUUUUUGAUAAGGCAUUUUUCUUAUUCCUGUAUGCCUCCCUUUUUAUUCUUUACCCAGAGUUAAAUGUAGCAAAAAGAAUGCUCAGAUAGAUUAAGAGGCUCAGGAAAUAAAAGGUUGCUUUCAAUCCAAGCAGCAUUGAGUGACAGAAAUAUUAAUGAAAGGUGUGACAUUUUAAUGAUGUUCACACAAAUAUUUGAGGGCCUAUUAUGUGCCAGGCACUCCUCCAGGUUCUGCAGAUACACCAGUGAAUAGGACUGAAAAAAGUCUGUCCUUCUACUGCAGGAGGCAGACAAUAAAUAAGUUAUAAGCAAAACAUGUACCUGAGGUGAUAAAUGCCAUGGGAAAGGAGGGAGAGGGCAAGAGAGGGCUGGUGGGUGGUUCCAAUUUUAAUUAAGGUGUUUGGUAAAAACUUACUAAGUGACCUUUGAGCAAUGUUGACACCUUGGGACUUAAAAAACUCUUUUGCUUAGUAAAGCUUAUAAAAAAUGAUAGUAGAUGGACUUUAUAGUUUUAAAAUGUCACAUAUACAGUCGCUAAAUAUAAGCUUGUUCCUGGAAGACACCACCCCACUCUUGGAUUUUAUGACUUUGACCAUUUUAGCUCUCUAACGUCAAGUGGAGUAAUGCAGUAUUUAUUUUUUCUGUGACUGACUUCUUUUCCUUAGGAUAAUGCCCCCUACAUCCAUCCAUGUCACAAAUGGCAGAAGUUCCUCCUUUUUUAAGAAAGAAUAAUAUUCCACUGUAUGUAGCUGCCAGUUACUUUAUUCAUUCAUCCGUUGAUGGACAUUUACGUUGUUUUCACAUCUUGGCUAUUGUGUAUAAUACUGCAAUGAACGUGUAAGUGCUAAUAUCUCUUUGAGAUCCUGUUUUCAAUACUUUUGGAUAACUACCUAGAAGUGGGAUUGGUGGGUCACCAGGUAGCUCUAUUUUUAAGUUGUUGAGGCUCUGUCAUACUGUUUUCCAUAGAAACUGUAUAACUUUGCAUUCCCAUCCAUAGUGUACAAGGAGUUUCUUUUCUCCAUAUCCUCACCAACACUUGUCUUUUUGGGGGGGGGGAAUAAUAGGCAUCCUUACAGGUAUGAGGUGAUAUCUCAUCAUGGUUUUGCUUUGCAUUUCUCUGAUGAUUAGUGACAUUGAGCAAUCUUUUCAUAUACCUAUCAGCCUUUUGCAUAUCUUUCUUGAAGAAAUGUUUACUCAAAUUCUUAGUCCAUUUUUAAAUCAGGUGGUUAGGUUUUUUGCUUUUUGCUAUUGAGUUGUAAAAGUUUAUGUAUUUUAGAGAUUAAGCCUGUAUCAGAUAUAUAAUUCACAAAUAUUUUCUCCUAUUCUGUGGGUUGCUUUUUCACUGUCAAUUGCUUCUUUUUCAAUAAAAAAAA
rnacentral:lncRNA from 1 species